CAAUAGCGUAUAUUAACGUUGUUGCAGUUAAAAAGCUCGUAGUUGGAUUUCUGGAGGGAGCGUCGGCCCGUAUUUACGAGUGCGUGACGUCUCUGUCCAUCCUUGCGGGAAGGCACGGCAUUGAUUUGUUGUGUCGGAUCGCAUCAUUUACUGUGAAAAAAUUAGAGUGUUCAAAGCAGGCUUUCGCUUGAAUACAUUAGCAUGGAAUAAUAAGAUAGGACUUUGGUGCUAUUUUGUUGGUUGAGCCUAAGUAAUGAUUAAUAGGGAUAGUUGGGGGCACCUGUAUUGCGUUGUCAGAGGUGAAAUUCUUGGAUUUACGCAAGACAAACAGCUGCGAAAGCGUCUGCCAAGGAUGUUUUCAUUA
rnacentral:rRNA from 1 species